rnacentral:lncRNA from 1 species
GAAAGAAUGGUAUGUUUAGAAUCUUCCCUCUUUCUGGAUUCUCAUCCUCAGGACUUAUUUCUCUCCUAAAAGCAAGAAGCAAAGGAACUAUUUCUGGACCCUCUAGCAACAACAUUUUAAUUUACUCAGCUGUGUAUCAGGAUCUUGAGGCAUUCCUUUUGGGAACCCAACAGUGCCCUGGCUCCUGGAAUGCCAGGAAAUUGAAGAAGCUGGAAAGGCACCUUUGGUAUUUGCAAAAGGC